AACUGAUACUACCUGCGGGAACCUGCGGAGGGAUCAUUAGCGAUAAAGUGGUUAGGGGUGUUUUCAUUCCUUUCCUCCUAUAUUUGCCCGUUUCUAGUGGCAACACUAGUUAAAUUGGUUCGGAUGAGUGUUGACUGAUGAGCUUUAUGUUUAUGUUUAUGUACGUACAACUUUCAGCAAUGGAUCUCU
rnacentral:misc_RNA from 1 species